rnacentral:tRNA from 1 species
GUGGUGGCUCAGUGGUACAGCACUUGCCUCACAUGUAUGAGGUACUGUGUUCAAUCCUCAGCACCACA